rnacentral:pre_miRNA from 1 species
AUGGGAAUAGCUGGGUCAAAUGGUGGUACCAUUCCAAGUUUUCCAAGGAAUCUUCACACUGCUUUCCAAAUUGGCUGCACCAAUUUGCAGACCCACCAGCAAU